rnacentral:rRNA from 1 species
UACGAGGGGGGCUAGCGUUGCUCGGAAUUACUGGGCGUAAAGCGCACGUAGGCGGUCUUUUAAGUCGGGGGUGAAAUCCUGGAGCUCAACUCCAGAACUGCCUUCGAUACUGGAAGACUCGAGUCCGGGAGAGGUGAGUGGAACUGCGAGUGUAGAGGUGAAAUUCGUAGAUAUUCGCAAGAACACCAGUGGCGAAGGCGGCUCACUGGCCCGGUACUGACGCUGAGGUGCGAAAGCGUGGGGAGCAAACAGG